GAUGAAGAACGUAGCGAAAUGCGAUAAGUAAUGUGAAUUGCAGAAUUCCGUGAAUCAUCGAAUCUUUGAACGCACCUUGCGCCCUUUGGCUAUUCCGAAGGGCAUGCCUGUUUGAGUAUCAUGAACACCUCAACUCUCAUGGCUUGCUGUGAUGAGCUUGGAAUUUGGGGGUCUUGUUGGCUUGUGAGCCAGCUCCUCCUAAAUGAAUUAGCUUGCCGGUGUUUGGUGGCAUCACAGGUGUGAUAACUAUCUACUCUUGUGGUUUCCCAUCAGGUAACCUCCAGUGAUGGAGGUUCGCUGGGGCUCAUAAAUGUCUCUCCUCAGUGAGGACAGAUUUUGACUGUUUGAUCUCAAAUCAGGUAGGACUACCCGCUGAACUUAAGCAUAUCAAUAAGCGGAGGA
rnacentral:misc_RNA from 1 species